UUCCUCAGAAAGGAUCCUACUAACACUACACAACCCAGUAUUUUUGAGCCCAUUGAUGUAUCUACGGAGCAACCAUACAAUAAACAGAGAAUCAAGAUAGAAGAAUUGGAAUUUUUGAGAAAUGGAACAUCCAAAACACAGAAUAUUGGUUCAGAAGGAAGAAUUCUGAGAGUUGGCGUUGAACAUUAUGAAAUUUUAGGAUCAGCAAAUGAUGAAGCUAUAUGUAAUUUACUGUCAGCAAACAGGAAUGGAGCUGUCUGUUAUUCCAAUAAUCUACCGCUUUGUGCUCUCAAUAAGAAACGAAAUAUAUAACCGAAUUUUAUUCAACUUCCGGAUUUGAUGGACUCAAACAAGUGAACACUGAAUACUUCUCGGUCACCAGACAAGAACUCUGGGAAUGUAAAUAUGCUGACGGUGAAAUAUUCGGGAGAAGACUGACAGAGCUUGUGGGAUCUAUACCUGUAGCGGAGAUAGAAUACUAUAGUGGGAUCAGUGUGUGGAGAUACAGACUUGAUAGCUCAACAUACAGUGUCAAAAUAAGAGAAAUAUUUUAUUACAAGCCAAACAAUGAAAGAAUAGGCCUACCUGUCAAAUUUGGUGAGUUGGCUGAU